rnacentral:rRNA from 1 species
CCCAGUUCAGAUUGCAGUCUGCAACUCGACUGCAUGAAGUCGGAAUCGCUAGUAAUCGCGGAUCAGCAUGCCGCGGUGAAUACGUUCCCGGGCCUUGUACACACCGCCCGUCACACCAUGAGAGUCGGGAACACCCGAAGUCCGUAGCCUAACCGCAAGGGGGCGCGGCCGAAGGUGGGUUCGAUAAUUGGGGUGAAGUCGUAACAAGGUACC